GAUGAAGAACGUAGCGAAAUGCGAUACGUAAUGUGAAUUGCAGAAUUCAGUGAAUCAUCGAGUCUUUGAACGCACAUUGCGCCCCCUGGUAUUCCGGGGGGCAUGCCUGUCCGAGCGUCAUUGCUGCCCUCAAGCACGGCUUGUGUGUUGGGCCUCCGUCCUCCUCCCGGGGGACGGGCCCGAAAGGCAGCGGCGGCACCGCGUCCGGUCCUCGAGCGUAUGGGGCUUCGUCACCCGCUCUUGUAGGCCCGGCGGGCGCUUGCCGACACAUCAAUCUUUUUUCCAGGUUGACCUCGGAUCAGGUAGGGAUACCCGCUGAACUUAAGCAUAUCAAUAAGCGGAGGA
rnacentral:misc_RNA from 1 species